GCAGCCGGUUGGGAUGCGGGAUACCCGAUCCAGGCAGUGGGGGGCUUUAGAGUAGUGUGCGGCUCGGCUGCGAGCCACGUCCUGCAGGGAGUGGGUGGCCCAGACCGCAAAGCCGGCGGAAGCCCUAACCCGCCCGAGUCCCCCGACCGACAGUGGAGCGGGGCGGGCCCCGACCUCAGCGCCCGCGCCGCCGCCGCCUCGGCCCUGAACUUCUGCCCUCUCAGGACCCGUGCCAGCCGCCCGCGCGGCCCCCGAAGGCCGAGGCCGGGAUGCCGCCUCCCGCGGGCGGCGGAAAGUGCGCCGCCAGCCCCGCGUCGGCUCUCACGGUUCGGGGCACGCGAGGGGCGGGGGCGUCAGGCUCGGGACAGUGGAGGAUCCCGGGGCCGCCCUCCCCCCACCCCAUCCCAUCCAGGCCCGCGGGGGCUCCGGCCUCCCCGCCUCGGGCCACGCCGCCCUCCCGGGCCGCCCUGCGGUCUCGCGCGGCGGGGAAGCCGCGGGGCUCUACCCAAGGGAGCGUCCGGGGAACGCUCGGCCGCCUCGCCCCGCCCGGGGCGUUCGGACGGCAGCCGGCAGCUUGGAGGCGCGGGGACUACUUUCCGUCGUCCGCCCGCGCCCCGCCCCUUGUCCUCGCGCGGCGGAACGCUCCGCGCUGCGCCGGUGGCGGCAGGAUACAGCGGCUCCAGCGCGACUUAUAAGAGCUCCUUGUGCGGCGCCAUUUUAAGCCUCUCGGUCUGUGGCAGCCGCGUUAGCCCGGCCCCGAGAGCGGAAAGCGAGGGGAGGCGGAGACGGAGGAAGGUCCGAGGAGCCGCUCCAGUUCCAGCCGAGCCGCCACCGCAGGCCGAGGACGGUCGGACUCCCGCGGCGGGAGGAGCCUGUUCCCCUGAGCGGAGUGAAUUUUUCCCUCGCCACGGAAUUGCUCAAAUGAAAUUCAAGCACUGCAACUUCUUCCAGUGUUUUGUCUGGGGAGAGGACUUCGAAGAGAGACUUUCGAAGUUAAGUUCUCCCAGGCCGGUUUUGAAUCCGCUAAACUUGAAAGCUUUGGCAGUUGGGUGUAGUUGUUUGCUUCGUUUUCUGUUCCCUUUUGGAGGGGGAGCAUUGUUUCAUACUUUGUAUCUUCCAGACAUCUGUGGUCUCCCCUCCCCCCCGAGUUUGUGA
rnacentral:lncRNA from 1 species